GACCUCGAAUCAGGUAGGAAUACCC
rnacentral:rRNA from 3 species